GGCCGGUUGGUCAAGGGGUUAAGACGCCUCUCUUUCACGGAGGAAUCACGAGUUCGAUUCUCGUACCGGCUA
rnacentral:tRNA from 1 species